rnacentral:miRNA from 1 species
CAACACCAGUCGAUGGGCUGU